rnacentral:tRNA from 1 species
GGAGGCGUAUCGAAGCGGUCAUAACGAGGCGGUCUUGAAAACCGUUUGGGUUUAAAGCCCACGGGGGUUCGAAUCCCUCCGCCUCCGCCA